AAGUCGUAACAAGGUUUCCGUAGGUGAACCUGCGGAAGGAUCAUUACCGAGUGAGGGCCCUCUGGGUCCAACCUCCCACCCGUGUCUAUCGUACCUUGUUGCUUCGGCGGGCCCGCCGUUUCGACGGCCGCCGGGGAGGCCUUGCGCCCCCGGGCCCGCGCCCGCCGAAGACCCCAACAUGAACGCUGUUCUGAAAGUAUGCAGUCUGAGUUGAUUAUCGUAAUCAGUUAAAACUUUCAACAACGGAUCUCUUGGUUCCG
rnacentral:misc_RNA from 1 species